GAUGAACGCUGGCGGCGUGCCUAAUACAUGCAAGUCGAGCGAACGGACGAGAAGCUUGCUUCUCUGAUGUUAGCGGCGGACGGGUGAGUAACACGUGGAUAACCUACCUAUAAGACUGGGAUAACUUCGGGAAACCGGAGCUAAUACCGGAUAAUAUUUUGAACCGCAUGGUUCAAAAGUGAAAGACGGUCUUGCUGUCACUUAUAGAUGGAUCCGCGCUGCAUUAGCUAGCUGGUAAGAUAACGGCUUACCAAGGCAACGAUGCAUAGCCGACCUGAGAGGGUGAUCGGCCACACUGGAACUGAGACACGGUCCAGACUCCUACGGGAGGCAGCAGUAGGGAAUCUUCCGCAAUGGGCGAAAGCCUGACGGAGCAACGCCGCGUGAGUGAUGAAGGUCUUCGGAUCGUAAAACUCUGUUAUUAGGGAAGAACAUAUGUGUAAGUAACUGUGCACAUCUUGACGGUACCUAAUCAGAAAGCCACGGCUAACUACGUG
rnacentral:rRNA from 1 species